GUUGCAGCGCAGUGGCAGUAUCAUAGCCAAUGAGGUUAAUCCAAGGCACGAUUAUUGCUAAUUGAAAACUAAUCUUAACUUUUAAAGAUAAUAUCUUCUGCCUUUUAGAUAAGUCUACUAGGAU